GGGGUUGUAGCUCAAUGGCACAGCACCUGCCUGGCAAGCAUGAGGUCCUGAGUUUGAUCCUCAGUACCA
rnacentral:tRNA from 1 species